rnacentral:rRNA from 1 species
GGGUGAGUAACGCGUGGGAAGCUACCUUUUGGUAAGGAACAACAGUUUGAAAAGACUGCUAUACCUUAUGAGCCCUAUGGGGGAAAGAUUUAUCGCCAAGAGAUGUGCCCGCGUUAGAUUAGCUAGUUGGUGAGGUAAUGGCUCACCAAGGCGACGAUCUAUAGCUGGUCUGAGAGGAUGAUCAGCCACACUGGGACUGAGACACGGCCCAGACUCCUACGGGAGGCAGCAGUGGGGAAUAUUGGACAAUGGGGGCAACCCUGAUCCAGCCAUGCCGCGUGAGUGAUGACGGCCUUAGGGUUGUAAAGCUCUUUCAGCAGUGAAGAUAAUGACAUUAACUGCAGAAGAAGCCCCGGCUAACUUCGUGCCAGCAGCCGCGGUAAUACGAAGGGGGCUAGCGUUGUUCGGAAUCACUGGGCGUAAAGCGUACGUAGGCGGAUUGAUAAGUUAGGGGUGAAAUCCCAAGGCUCAACCUUGGAACUGCCUUUGAUACUGUCAGUCUUGAGAUCGAGAGAGGUGAGUGGAACUCCGAGUGUAGAGGUGAAAUUCGUAGAUAUUCGGAAGAACACCAGUGGCGAAGGCGGCUCACUGGCUCGAUACUGACGCUGAGGUACGAAAGCGUGGGGAGCAAACAGGAUUAGAUACCCCUGGUAGUCCACGCCGUAAACGAUGAAUGCUAGUUGUCAGGUAGCUUGCUAUUUGGUGACGCAGCUAACGCAUUAAGCAUUCCGCCUGGGGAGUACGGUCGCAAGAUUAAAACUCAAAGGAAUUGACGGGGGCCCGCACAAGCGGUGGAGCAUGUGGGUUUAAUUCGAAGCAACGCGCAGAACCUUACCAGCCCUUGACAUUUGGCGCUACAACGGGAGACCGUUGGUUCCCUUCGGGGACGUCAGGACAGGUGCUGCAUGGCUGUCGUCAGCUCGUGUCGUGAGAAUGUUGGGUUAAGUCCCGCAACGAGCGCA